rnacentral:rRNA from 1 species
UACGUACCGUCCAAACGUUAUUCGGAAUUACUGGGCUUAAAGGGUACGUAGGCGGCCCUGUCAGUCGGGUGUGAAAUCCCACGGCUCAACCGUGGAACUGCGCCCGAUACUGCAGGGCUUGAGGGAGACAGAGGUAAGCGGAACUGAUGGUGGAGCGGUGAAAUGCGUUGAUAUCAUCAGGAACACCAGUGGCGAAAGCGGCUUACUGGGGCUUAACUGACACUGAGGCACGAAAGCCAGGGGAGCGAACGGG